CUAUGCGCCUUGCCAGCCCGCUCAGUCAGAGUUUGAUCCUGGCUCAGGACGAACGCUGGCGGCGUGCCUAAUACAUGCAAGUCGAGCGAAGCGAAGAGAGCUUGCUCUUGGAGCUUAGCGGCAAACGGGUGAGUAACACGUGGGCAACCUGCCUGACAGACUGGGAUAACUUCAGGAAACUGGAGCUAAUACCGGAUAGGAUCGCGAACCGCAUGGAACGCGAUGGAAAGUCUGAACGACACUGUCAGAUGGGCCCGCGGCGCAUUAGCUAGUUGGUAGGGUAAUGGCCUACCAAGGCAACGAUGCGUAGCCGACCUGAGAGGGUGACCGGCCACACUGGGACUGAGACACGGCCCAG
rnacentral:rRNA from 1 species